rnacentral:rRNA from 1 species
UGCCGGCGAGUGGCGAACGGGUGAGUAAUGCAUCGGAACGUACCCAGUCGUGGGGGAUAACGCAGCGAAAGCUGUGCUAAUACCGCAUACGUCCUGAGGGAGAAAGCAGGGGAUCUUCGGACCUUGUGCGAUUGGAGCGGCCGAUGUCAGAUUAGCUAGUUGGUGAGGUAAAAGCUCACCAAGGCGACGAUCUGUAGCUGGUCUGAGAGGAUGAUCAGCCACACUGGAACUGAGACACGGUCCAGACUCCUACGGGAGGCAGCAGUGGGGAAUUUUGGACAAUGGGGGCAACCCUGAUCCAGCCAUGCCGCGUGAGUGAAGAAGGCCUUCGGGUUGUAAAGCUCUUUCGGCCGGGAAGAAAUCGUGCAGGCUAAUACCCUGUAUGGAUGACGGUACCGGAAUAAGAAGCACCGGCUAACUACGUGCCAGCAGCCGCGGUAAUACGUAGGGUGCGAGCGUUAAUCGGAAUUACUGGGCGUAAAGCGUGCGCAGGCGGUUUUGUAAGACAGGCGUGAAAUCCCCGGGCUCAACCUGGGAACUGCGCUUGUGACUGCAAGACUAGAGUACGGCAGAGGGGGGUGGAAUUCCACGUGUAGCAGUGAAAUGCGUAGAGAUGUGGAGGAACACCAAUGGCGAAGGCAGCCCCCUGGGUCGAUACUGACGCUCAU